UCCCUUGUGGCUUAGCUGGUAAAGAAUCUGCCUGCAAUGCAGGAGACCUGAGUUCGAGCCCCAGGUUGGGGAG
rnacentral:tRNA from 1 species